rnacentral:rRNA from 1 species
UAGUGGCGCACGGGUGCGUAACGCGUAACCAACCUACCCCACAUCUGGGGGAUAGCCCGCCGAAAGGCGGAUUAAUACCGCAUAAAACUGCAGCCCGGCAUCGGGCAACGGUUAAAGAUUUAUUGGAUGUGGAUGGGGUUGCGUGCCAUUAGCUAGUUGGGGGGGUAACGGCCCACCAAGGCGACGAUGGCUAGGGGAGCUGAGAGGCUGGUCCCCCACACGGGCACUGAGAUACGGGCCCG